GUCUCCGUUGGUGAACCAGCGGAGGGAUCAUUGCUGGAACGCGCCCCUGGCGCACCCAGAAACCCUUUGUGAACUUAUACCUUACUGUUGCCUCGGCGCAGGCCGUCCCCUAACGGGGUCCCUUUUGUCUCAAAAGGAGCAGCCGGCCGGUGGCCAAAUUAACUCUGUUUUUAAACUGAAACUCUGAGUAAAAAACAUAAAUGAAUCAAAACUUUCAACAACGGAUCUCUUGGUUCUGGCAUCGAUGAAGAACGCAGCGAAAUGCGAUAAGUAAUGUGAAUUGCAGAAUUCAGUGAAUCAUCGAAUCUUUGAACGCACAUUGCGCCCUCUGGUAUUCCGGAGGGCAUGCCUGUUCGAGCGUCAUUUCAACCCUCAAGCCUGGCUUGGUGUUGGGGCACUGCUUUCUAACGAGAGCAGGCCCUGAAAUAUAGUGGCGAGCUCGCCAGGACUCCGAGCGUAGUAGUUAAACCCUCGCUUUGGAAGGCCUGGCGGUGCCCUGCCGUUAAACCCCAACUUCUGAAAAUUUGACCUCGGAUCAGGUAGGAAUACCCGCUGAACUUAA
rnacentral:rRNA from 1 species